rnacentral:rRNA from 1 species
GACGAACGCUGGCGGCGUGCUUAACACAUGCAAGUCGAACGGAAAGGCCCUGCUUUUGUGGGGUGCUCGAGUGGCGAACGGGUGAGUAACACGUGAGUAACCUGCCCUUGACUUUGGGAUAACUUCAGGAAACUGGGGCUAAUACCGGAUAGGAGCUCCUGCUGCAUGGUGGGGGUUGGAAAGUUUCGGCGGUUGGGGAUGGACUCGCGGCUUAUCAGCUUGUUGGUGGGGUAGUGGCUUACCAAGGCUUUGACGGGUAGCCGGCCUGGGAGGGUGACCGGCCACAUGGGGACUGAGAUACGGCCCAGAUUCCUACGGGAGGCAGCAGUGGGGAAUAUUGCACAAGGGGCGGAAGCCUGAUGCAGAAACGCCGCGUGCGGGAUGACGGCCUUCGGGUUGUAAACCGCUUUCGCCUGUGACGAAGCGUGAGUGACGGUAAUGGGUAAAGAAGCACCGGCUAACUACGUG